UUACCAUGAAGAGCUUGAUCAAGGCUACCGCCAGGAAGGUAAUCAUACAGAAGAAGCUUCGAUGUUGGUGAGUUACAGUAUCCACGUAGAUUCACGAGGUAACGAUGUUUGAUGCUUCCAAGAAUCCCAAGCUCCCUUUCGAAAAACCUAUCAAACCCUUCGUUUAACUUUACAAUCCUCUUCAGCGCAAAAACGUUGCCAUCUUCCAUGUCCAACUUGUAAACUGUUCCAAAACCUCCACACCCUAUUAUAUGCUCUUCGUUGAGAGCUUCCAGUUUCUUGAUAAUGUCUUUAGAAGCGUAGGGCAAAUCUCCAUGGAACAUCACGAUAGACGCACCUGAAUCAAAUAAAAUCGUUUCUCAUGGUGUCAAGCUGUGAGAGUUAAUUAUAACAUAGUUCACCAAACUUUUUUAGAGAUGAUAUCCACAAAAAGAGUCAGCAUGGUCACCUCCACCGACAGCUAUCGCAAGGCUUUUACUCUCAACGGUACCAAGCUUUUUAUAGAGAAAGCAUCCCCAGAAACACAUGAGCGCCACUAGGAGCAGUCCACCGACAGUCGCUGAUGCACUUAUAAGCAGCUUACCAGUCUUACCUUCUGAGAGACCAAAAAGCAAACUCAUGUCACAAAAAGCUAUAACCCAUAUAACCUUGCCAGCAAAUUGAUAACGACGCAGCUGGUUUACCUGGUGCAGGACCAGAACCAGUAGAAAAGUUUCCACUCUCAUCUUGGCACACCACAUGAAUUUGCUUUCCACACAAGUUAAGAUUCCCGAUGAAGCUGCAAAGAGUAAUGCAUCAGCUCAACAAUCCGUUAUUUUCAGCUAUACAAUGGUACAAAGUUACAAAAAUAUAUAUGUUUUGCCAGAUCAACAGUAGAGAGAUUUCUCCAUCUUUGUUACCAAAACUCUGGUUGGAGAAAGAGGGGAAGAUGAUGUAUACUUACGAGUCAUUCGAAAAUUUGGCGAGUAAGCCAUCAGAAGGUAUUUUCCCCACCAAAAAAUUGUUUGAGACAUUGCUUCAAAAGAAGAAUAAACUAGUUAGCAAAUAGCAACAAUGACACUCAAAAAUACACACAGGGCUACAAAACAAAAUAAACAAGUUAGAGAGUAGUCACUCACAAACUAGUAAGCUUUUGCAACUGCCCAAGUGAAACAGGGAUAGCUCCUAUGAGCCCGUUGUUUGAGAUGUCCCUUUAUAAAAAGAGAAGAAUCAGUUUAGUAGUUUAGAAGAAUUCAAAUAAUAGGUCCCUUUGAUUUGAGUAAAGCUUUAGCAUACAUUCACAACAAUCAUUAUCAUAUUUCAGACUUUUUUCACUUAUCACAAUGUCCACCAUAGGUAUGUUGGGAAUUAACUAUGUUACUACCAGAUUCUCAACCGCUAAGGAUACCAUGAUACUAAAUGGUCCAAGUAGCUAAUGGAACAACAAAUAGCAGAUCCUGCAGAGAACAUGAAAACAAAUUUACAGAAGAACAGGGAGAAAGACUUCGUACAGAUUUUUCAGCCCGGUCAGGUUUCCCAUUUCACUUGGGAUUGGCCCAGUGAGGUAAUUGUUCUGCAAGUAUCUGCAAGAAAACAAUUUCAGACAUGAUUUUGUAGGCCAGCUAAACUUUCAAGACAACAAUCUUAUACGGCAACAAUAAAAGCAUAUGUUGAAAAACCAUCUCAGCAAUGAAGUGUGAACAGCAUAAGAAUUUUGGGAAAGAACUUACACUCCCUCCAAUGCCGUGCAAUUUCCCAAUGCUGAAGGUAUUGAGUCAUAUAAAUUAUUGUUGUGAAGCAUUCUGCGAUACAAAGGGAAUGCAGAAACGUUAUGCAGGAGUGGGUACUCUAAUAAGCAAUAAAAAAUUCAACAAGGUUAUAGCACAUACAAAAGCCUCAACUGAUCCAACUUUCCAAGCUCAGGGGGUAAUGGUCCGCUUAAUUUGUGAUGAGUAAGACUCCUGCGCACAAGAAAAAUUAGAAACCAACAAAGGAUGGAGCACAUAUUGAAGACAAAUAGGGUUGAACCAAACAAGUUUCAAGCUUACAAGGCUGUGACUCUUUUCGUUUUAGCAUCACAAGUCACUCCCUUCCAGUUACACGGAUCAGGAUCCUCUGACCUCCACUGACGUAUGGCACCAUCAGAACUAGAAAUUCCACUUCUAAAGCUUAGAAGCGCCUCACCUAAAGAACAGAAGGAACAAAAAGGAUUGAAACCCUACAGCGGAUUGGACGGUGAUCAUAGUUUCGUCAAACAAAAAAUAUGGACGUAAACAUAUUGUUGUACCAUCAGGACUAAUCGCUUCAUUUUCAUUCGUCAGUGCACAAAGCAGUGAGAUCAAAAGAAGCCAUGACCAGCAGCGCUUCGUCAGCAGAAGCAUAAUAUAUUUACCGCCGAUCAUCUGAAAGAACAGACUCCAGAAUGUUUCCCUCCUAGCAUAUAUUCAGCUGCUUGGUAACAAAACGAAGCUCCUGAAGAAAAAGAAGCAUCUAUCAUUACAUUAUAUAAGUAACAAGAACAGUAUACCCCCUCAUGAAACUCAAUCAAGACAAACAGUUUGUCUGAAUCUACGGUGAACUAUAUAUGCUGAAAUCCUCUCUUGCCCAUACAAAAAUCAUCUACCAACGUUCACCUAAAGAUCACUACUUUAAAUCACCCACCGAAUCAGGUCUCAAUCUUACAAUAACGCCUCAUACAUCAAACCAAAAAACAUACUGCAACAUCUAUCAUUCAUUAGAUUGUAUAACAAGAACAGUAACCCCCCUCCUCAGUGAAACCUCAAUCAAGUCAAACCGCACUGGACUAUAUGCUGAAAUUCUCUACCACACAACAAGCUUCCCUCAACAUCAAUAAACCAAAAACGGAUCAAACCCACCUCACAAUUUCCAAAAUUAGAAAGCGAAACUGAACUAUAUGCUGACAUCCUCUAUUACACAACAAGCUUCCCUCAACAUCAAUACACAACCUUUUCAUUCUCUCUCAUCUACAUAAACAAAACCCAAAAACAGUAAGGUUUCCCAAAACGGAUCAAACCCACCUCACAUUCACAAUUUCCAAAAUUAGAAAGCGAAAUUGAAAUUCACUCCCGAUAAAGCCCAGCUCCCUCGAGCAAUCAUUGCAGUCUCACCACAAAUAGAACUGAAGAGUCAACCCGUGCAGUAAUCUCGAAAUCGAUUCGUUGAUAAAUUAAAACCCAAUUCGCACUUCCCCCAAAUCGAAAUUACACGAACCUCGAAUUGGAUCCGCGAGGAGGAAGAUGAAGAAGAAGAAGAAUAGGACAGAGGAAGAAGACGAUAUUUUUGAGCUGUAAAAGGUGUGGUUGAUGAGAGAGAGUGAAGAGAGAGAAAGUGAGAGUGUUCAGUUAACCAAAAAUGUUUGGAGAGGGAAUCGGCGAUUUACAACCAAUGAGAGAGGCGAAGUGAUCAUCACACGUGCCGACCACGACUUCCCGCACGUGUCGACCGACGAUUUCUUUCGCUGAAUCAAAAACCCAGGAUUAUUUACAGACUGGCUACAGCUUGCUGGGUCCGGUAUGUAUCACAAUGGGCCUCAGAAACCCAUCAAUAAAGAUUAACCGGUUUGAGUUGCAACCAGCAACCGGUUCAGCUCAAAUUUUGAAUUUGAUUUUUUUUUUCAAUCUAUUAAUAAUAAUAAUGAUUUUAACAAGGAUUUUUCGACAUUUUAUUUAUUUUUAAAAGUAUUAAAGAAUGACAUUUUCUAAAACAAUAUAAAAUUAGUAAUUUACUGAGACAUAAUUAUGGUUCAAUUUUUAUAUCUACUAACUUGUAAAUUCAAAAAAAUGAUUUUCUUAAAUAUAUUUCAGAAUCAGGAAACUAAUACAUAUAUUUUUAUAAAAAUUUAAAAUUACUUAAGAUUUAUAAAAUAAUAAAUCCAUAAAUCCUCUUUGAGUUUGUGUUAAUUUGAAAUUUAAUUUUCUAAACUUGUGUAUUUACAAAUAAAAACUGGAAAAGCUAGGAUAUUUAAUCUUAAUAAAAUUAUAUAUACUAUAAUUUUAUGAAUUUUCCUCAAAUAUAUUAAUACAACAUCAAAUAGUUCAUACAUUUCUUAAUCACCUUCUUCUUCUUAUUAUUUUUUUUGGUGAUGACACACUGUCGUCAACGUGUAAUACAAAAUCACAAUUAUCAUUUUCAAUAAUUCAUAUAUAAAUAUAAAAAUUCACAUGAAUAUGAAAUGACAUUUUCAUUUUUAAUACUACAAACUAAAAUGUUAUUUCAACAUACUUUAUAAAAAAUAAUAUAAUUUAUAAAUUUGGUCAUAUUCAUAUAUUUUACAUUUAUAUAUUAAGUUAUAUUUUUUAUGAUGACUAGUCGUUUAUAUACAUGUAUAUAAUAUCUUUAAGACAUAUAAGUAUGUUUAAAAUGAAUAAAAAAAGUCAGUUAUCAUUUUAUAAGUUAGAUAUAUAUAUAUAUAUAUACAUAAAUUGAAAAGAAUAUAAAAAGCGUCUUUUGGGCUGGGCCAAGCCCGAUUGACACUCCAAGGUUUAACCUAGUAUAGUUUGAAAAUGUCGAUCUUUCCACGGAGAAACAAAACGCUCGUUAAGACGAUUUCAAAUAAUCGCGCGUCGAUUAACAUCCAACAGCAAGGCGCGUGAAGUGUUCUAGAAAAUAAUGACACCACCGAUUUAAACGUAGAAACCAAAAUUCCUCCACUCUCUCGCUCUCUCUCUCUCAUUACGCUCCAACCCUUUUCUCUCUCUCCUCUUCUGUCCUUUCUCUCUCUUGCCGGCCUUAAAAAAAUUUGAAAAGAGAGAGAGAGAGAGAGAAAAAGCUGAAGGAGACGAUACGAAGAAGGCUCGUAUAAUAAAUAGAUCGAUACCAUCGGAGAGAUUGAUUGAUUGAUUCGUGAAAAAUGUCGGAGGAAGAGAAGCUAUUGAAGGACGCGAAGAAGCUCCCAUGGGAGGAUCGCCUCGCUCACAAGAACUGGAAAGUUAGGAACGAGGCCAACGUCGACCUAGCUUCCGUCUGCGAUUCCAUCACCGAUCCUAAGGACCCUCGCCUCCGCGAAUUCGGUGAGUUUUUUCAGCUGUUAGGGUUUUCAAUUUUCGCGGCUCCAGAUCUGAUUCGAUCUCGCUGCGGAUCUGCUUUUGGAUUUUGGACUUAUCCUUGUUGUGUGUUUGCAGGUCACUUGUUUAGAAAGACGGUGGCGGAUUCCAAUGCGCCGGUGCAAGAGAAGGCGCUCGAUGCAUUGAUUGCGUUUUUGAAGGCAGCUGACUCAGACGCUAGCAGGUACGGUGGUGAUGAGUUUUGAUGCUCUUGUGGAGCGAGUGAUUGUGUUUGCAUGUGAAUUUAGCUUGUUUCUGCUUUUGGAAGGUAUGGAAAGGAAGUCUGCGAUGCCAUUGCGGCCAAGUGUCUCACGGGUAGGCCCAAGACUGUGCAGAAGGCGCAGGAGGCUUUCUUGCUUUGGGUAGAAUUAGAAGCUGUUGAUGCUUUUCUGGUAUGCCUCGUUAUUCUUCGUUCUUGCGACUCUGUAAGGUCCAUGUGGAUUGGUGACAUAGAAAUGAAGUGCUUUGUAAUCCAGAGUGUGGCCAUAUACGGAGUGAUGUAGAAUGUAGCAUGUGGCUCUGUUGCCCAGUUCUGUGUCAUGCUAGGUGUCUAGCGUAAGAAGAAAUAUGGAUACCUUCUUCGCUGCUGUUUUGAAGAUGUCUACGCUAGUGUUUCGUUCUAUAUCAUUUCCUCAGCAUUUUUAAAUUUACUGCCCAAGUAUUAAGACCCCAGAACUCCAAAUAUAACGUCUAAUGAAGAUAUUUAUUUGUAGUUGUGUCGUUUCUAGGAGAAAAUCGUCCGUGUACAAUUUAACAGAUUUGUCAUGAUUGUAGGAUACAUUGGAGAAAGCUAUAAAGAAUAAAGUUGCAAAGGCUGUGGUACCUGCAGUAGACGUUAUGUUUCAAGCUCUCAGGUCUGUUCUGAAGUCUUAGUUAGUUUUCUCCAUUGAUUCUUUAAAUCUCUUAUCUGAAAUAACGACACUAGUUUUUUUUUUGUCUUAGUGAUUUUGGAUCAAAGAUUAUUCCACCCAAAAGGAUUCUAAAGAUGCUUCCGGAACUUUUCGACCAUCAAGAUCAGAACGUCCGUGCAUCUGCCAAAGGGGUGACUCUGGAGCUAUGCCGUUGGAUUGGAAAAGACCCUGUAAAAUCUAUUUUGUUUGAGAAAAUGAGAGAUACAAUGGUAAGAUUUAUGUUGAUCCAUACGUUUGCAGCUUAGCCAUGCCACCAAGAUGAUAUCAACUGGGUUUCUAGUAUAACAGAUAGCAUAUUAGAUUGCUGAUCAGAACCACUACCUUGGCUGAAUUAUCAUGAUUUAAAAUUUCACUUGAUAUUGUCUUCUUUGAUUAUGCACCAAAAGCUGUCGAAUUAGUUCCUUUAUUUUCUUGUGCUCUUUCGCAGACGCUAAUAUUCGAUUUUAUUGUUGUUAUGUAAGAAAAAAGAGCUGGAGGCUGAGCUUGCCAAUGUUUCAGUGGGUGCCAAGCCUGCUCGAAAGAUAAGGUAACUACCACAAACUAUAAGAAUUGUUUCUAUUGAUCUUAGCCUAACUGCCACAUACCAGAUUUAGCUUCAUAAUUGUGAAUAUUUUCUUUUUACUAUGUCAAGUUUUUGAAUAAUUGAAUUUAUAUGCAUGCGUAUUUCAAAAGUUAAAAACACUACUAGCAUGAUUUUGAAAAUCUGCAACUAGAUUAUUUAUGUAUAUGGCUUUCAAGGUCUGAGCAAGACAAAGAGCCAGAGGCAGAAGCUAGUUCUGAUGUGGUGGGUGAUAGGCCCAGUGAAGAACCUGUUGCUGAUGGUACGUAGCUUGUAGUUCAAUAAAUUGUUUCUUCAUUAAGUAAUGUUGAGAAAGCUGCUUACUUUGAUUCUUCUUUAUCAACGCAUUACUAUCAGCGCCUCAGGAAAUAGAUGAGUAUGAUCUUAUGGAUCCUGUGGAUAUUUUGACUCCUUUGGAAAAGUCUGGGUUCUGGGACGGAGUGGUGAGUUGUGAAUUCUUAUGCUUUUGUUUCUUGCGGUUGUUCUCUAUUGAAAGAACUUUAUAUAAGAUACUACUUCCUUCCCAUGUUGAUUGCAUGGCACACGUUGCACUAACCAUUUUUGGGUCUCUUUUAGAAAGCUACGAAGUGGUCAGAACGUAAGGAGGCUGUUGCAGAGCUAACAAAGCUUGCUUCGACAAAAAAGAUAGCUCCUGGUGAUUUUUCAGAAAUUUGUCGGACCUUAAAGAAGGUAGUUAACUUUCCACGAUAAGAAGUCCAGGCUGCAUUGAUUAUUAUUUAUAUGUUAUAUUCCUUUGUAUGUUUUAGCUCCCUUGCAGUAGUAUGAUAGUAGUAUCUAACUGGUGCUGAUGCAUGCCGUAAACAUAUGUGCUUAUUGAUUAACCUGUAGUUUGAAGUUCAUGCGUUAUAUUUAAACCCUCAAAUAGGGAAAAUAUUUCGGUUUUAAUGUGUAGAUGCUGCCUUAGUUCAAGAAUUAUUACUGCUUGCCUAUAAACCUGCGAUUUGAUAGUUUUUGUAAAUCAUUCCAAUCGCAGCUUAUCACGGAUGUGAACUUAGCCGUUGCAGUGGAAGCUAUUCAAGCCAUUGGAAAUCUUGCACGUGGUUUAAGAACACAUUUCUCCGCUAGUUCACGGUUCAUGCUACCUGUUUUACUUGUGAGUCUUUAGAAUCAUUUAUCCAAAAUUGUUGUUACCGGAAGAUACAUCAAGUCUUUCGAUUAUAAAUAUUCCUUUUGUCAUGACUGGGUUAUCGUUCAGCAAUUGAUUCAAAACGUAAUGACUUUUUGUUCCUUUAACAGGAAAAAUUGAAAGAGAAAAAGCCAACCGUCGCAGAGGCGCUUACACAAACGUUACAAGCAAUGUACAAAGCUGGGUGUUUGAAUCUUGUUGACAUUAUAGAAGGCAAGAGUAAUUUUUAUCUUGGAUUGUUGUGUGGAAUUCUAUUGAUUUGCUUAUUAUUAUUAUCUUGAUCAGAUAUUUUUAUCAUUAUCCAGACGUGUGGCGACCGAUUAAUUUAAACAUCUCUAUCUUUCAUCUGUUUCCAAAUUAACUUUGCUCUCUUUUGCAGAUGUAAAGACGGCAGUGAAAAACAAAGUACCACUUGUGCGUUCUUUAACAUUAAACUGGUUGACAUUCUGCCUUGAAACAAGUAACAAGGCUCUUAUUCUAAAGGCGCACAAAGAAUAUGUCCCUUUAUGUAUGGAGGUCAGUAUUUUUGUGCCUAAUGGCUCCUAAACUCACUUUGAGUGAACAUAUAUGCAUGGAAGUUUCUCAGUCAUGGAAGCUUAUCUAUAUGAAAAAGCCUAGUGUUAAAAGGACAAAUAACGUGUGAAAGGUUGCAGUACAAUUUAGGCGUUAGCGGAGCUGAGCUAUGAUCGCUGUUAUCACUUCUACAUUGAAAAAUAAUAAAUUGUUCGAACCUAUAAGUUUUUUGAAUGAUGUAGUGUCUCAAUGAUGGAACUCCUGAUGUGAGGGAUGCAGCAUUUUCGGCUUUGGCUGCAAUAGCGAAGGUAUUCAUUUUAUUUUUGUACUGAACAGCAACCAAUUCUCUCUGUCUUCUGUGGUACCUUAAUGCUGUACACAUUUUAGAAUAUAUGGAUAAAUGAGUCUUGUACACACGUUUUCCUACUCCUUAUAUGUUUGUUAUAUUUUGGUUAUGUCAGUCUGUAGGUAUGAGACCUCUUGAAAAGUCGUUGGAAAAACUUGAUGAUGUUAGAAGAAAGAAACUUUCAGAAAUGAUUGCAAGCUCUGGUGGGGAAUUAGCUGGUACAAGCUCAGGUUUGUGAACAUUUAUUCCACACAGCCGUUAAGCUGAACAUCAAGAUUUGUAUGUGUUUUUAUCGCAUUCUAAUUUUGUAGGCCAGCUAAACUUUUCAAAGCAAAAAAAUACAGAGAGAGAAUCUGAAAAUGAAUGGCUUGAUCAACCUUGUGAUAUAUAAAACAGAAAUCGAAAUGGAGAAGACAGAGACCUGUGAAUGUGAUCAAUCAGAACUGGAAUCGUAGAACUCACUAGGGCAAGGAGUCAUAACUUCAGAUUCAAGUAACUGAACAACUCUGAGCAUUGUCGGCCGCUCGUCUGGACUUGAAGACACACACUUUGUUGCUAUUGAUAUAAGAGCAUCAAGACUCCCUGUCUCUACUCCUUCACAGCUUCUAUCAACAAUCUCUCGUGCACGCUUCUCGCUGAUUAAGAAGUUUAGCUGCAAGAUUUUAUGAAAACAAAUUAAAUCUUUCACUUAGUCAAAAUAUUGUUUAGUACCAAAGCUGGACCUCGUUAUGCUUACCCAACCAACAACGUUAUAGCCUUUCUCGAUGAAGGAGGUAUCCGUGGGGAGUUUACCGCUCAAGACUUCCAGAACCAAAACUCCGAAACUGUAUACAUCUGUUUUCUCUGUCGCUCUACCACUUUGCAUAUACUCUGCAACCACCACUCAUGGUUAGGUCAUACGGAGUAGAAAUCAUUAUUGUUAUUACAAGUGCAAUUAAGUACCUGGAGCCAAGUAACCGAAUGUGCCUGCAACAAUGGUUGUAAUAUGAGACUCUUCGUCCUCUAGCAGCUUGGCAAGUCCAAAGUCCGAUACUCGAGCCUCGAGAUUUCCAUCGAGUAAAAUGUUGCUUGACUUUAUAUCACGGUGUAUAAUCCUAGGAGAACAAUCAUGAUGCAAGUAUGCUAACCCUUUUGCUGCUCCUACUAUAAUAUUUACUCUUGAAUCCCAAUCCAGUUGGUCUCCUCUCUCUAAAACAUCCAAAGAUUUCACUUAGUAAAAUCACAUUUCUCGGUUUAAGGAAAAAGCUUUAAAGAUGAUGAGGAUUUUACCAUGAAGAGCUUGAUCAAGGCUACCGCCAGGAAGGUAAUCAUACAGAAGAAGCUUCGAUGUUGGUGAGUUGCAGUAUCCACGUAGAUUCACGAGGUAACGAUGUUUGAUGCUUCCAAGAAUCUCAAGCUCCCUUUCGAAAAACCUAUCAAACCCUUCGUUUAACUUUACAAUCCUCUUCAGCGCAAAAACGUUGCCAUCUUCCAUGUCCAACUUGUAAACUGUUCCAAAACCUCCACACCCUAU
rnacentral:lncRNA from 1 species